rnacentral:rRNA from 1 species
GACGAACGCUGGCGGCGUGCCUAAUACAUGCAAGUGGGACGCAAGGGAACACACUGUGCUUGCACACCGUGUUUUCUUGAGUCGCGAACGGGUGAGUAACGCGUAGGUAACCUGCCUAUUAGCGGGGGAUAACUAUUGGAAACGAUAGCUAAUACCGCAUAAUAUUAAUUAUUGCAUGAUAAUUGAUUGAAAGAUGCAAGCGCAUCACUAGUAGAUGGACCUGCGUUGUAUUAGCUAGUUGGUAAGGUAAGAGCUUACCAAGGCGACGAUACAUAGCCGACCUGAGAGGGUGAUCGGCCACACUGGGACUGAGACACGGCCCAGACUCCUACGGGAGGCAGCAGUAGGGAAUCUUCGGCAAUGGACGAAAGUCUGACCGAGCAACGCCGCGUGAGUGAAGAAGGUUUUCGGAUCGUAAAGCUCUGUUGUAAGUCAAGAACGUGUGUGAGAGUGGAAAGUUCACACAGGACGUAGCUACCAGAAAGGCGC